rnacentral:rRNA from 1 species
UCCCCAACAGCUAGCCCGCCCUGUAAUAACAACAACCCCUAUUACUAACCCCGCAAGCAAUAACAAAGUAUAAACAAACCAUUUUUCCCCUAAAGUAUGGGAGACAGAACCAGGACCCAUGGAGCUAUAGAAAAAGUACCGCAAGGGAACGCUGAAAGAGAAAUGAAACAACCCAGUUAAGGUAAAAAAAGCAGAGACUACCCCUCGUACCUUUUGCAUCAUGACUUAGCAAGCACCCCCAAGCAAAGAGAACUUUAGUUUGUACCCCCGAAACUUGGCGAGCUACUCCAAGACAGCCUAUUUAGGGCAAACCCGUCUCUGUGGCAAAAGAGUGGGAAGAGCUUCGAGUAGAGGUGACAGACCUACCGAGCCUAGCUAUAGCUGGUUGCCUGAGAAAUGAAUAGAAGUUCAACCUUUUGGAUGCUUCCACCCCAUAAAAGCACACUUCUCCACCGGCCAAAAGCACCCCAAAAGAGCUAUUCGAGGGAGGGACAGCUCUCUCGAAUGAAGAUACAACUUUUUUAGGAGGCUAAAGACUAAAACAAAAAAGGCAAACACCAAGGUGGGCCUAAAAGCAGCCACCCUAAUAGAAAGCGUUAAAGCUCAAGUGAACAGCCCCAACAAUCCCAGCAAACAAUUCUUACGCCCCUUAACCACAUCAGGCCCCUCCAUGCCCACAUGGAGGAGAAACUGCUAACAUGAGUAACAAGAAAGCUAACCCCUUUCUCCCCGCCCCAGUAUAACCGGAACAGACCCUAACCGAAAAUUAACGUCCCCCUAGCAGAGGGAAUUGGGCCAUCCUCCACCCUGGACAAGAGACGCCCCCUAACAAAACCGUUAGCCCCACACUGGUGAGCCAAAGGAAAGACAUAAAGGAGAAGAAGGAACUCGGCAAACACUAGCCUCGCCUGUUUACCAAAAACAUCGCCUCCUGCCCCCCCCCCCCGUAUAGGAGGUCCCGCCUGCCCUGUGACAUUGCUUUAACGGCCGCGGUAUUUUGACCGUGCGAAGGUAGCGUAAUCACUUGUCUUUUAAAUGAAGACCUGUAUGAAUGGCAUGACGAGGGCUUAGCUGUCUCCUUCCCCCAGUCAGUGAAAUUGAUCUGUCCGUGCAGAAGCGGACAUGACAACAUAAGACGAGAAGACCCUAUGGAGCUUAAGACGAAGGACAGCCUAAGUUAAACACCUCAAAUAAACGAGACUAAACCAAGUAGCCCCUGUCCCAAUGUCUUUGGUUGGGGCGACCACGGGGAAACACAAAACCCCCGAGAGGAACGGGCGAAAUACCCCGAUACCAGAGCCACAGCUCUAGUAACCAGAAUUUCUGACCGCCAAGAUCCGGCAACGCCGAUCAACGGACCCAGUUACCCUAGGGAUAACAGCGCAAUCCUCUUUUAGAGCCCAUAUCGACAAGAGGGUUUACGACCUCGAUGUUGGAUCAGGACAUCCUAAUGGUGCAGCCGCUAUUAAGGGUUCGUUUGUUCAACGAUUAAAGUCCU